UUUGUUGGUUAUCAAAAAACCGAAAUCUGUUUACAGAAUUUAUGACAUUGAAUCAACAUUUUGAACUAUUAGCGUACUCGGCAACUUUCAUCACCUCAGUUCUCAGUCACGCUUUUAAAGGAAACUGUAAAAAUGGACAAUCGAAAAUUAGAUAUUUGUGCUAUAUUUUUUGAUUUGGAUAAUACUCUCGUAAAAACUAGAAAGGCCGAUGAAGAAACUUGUAAAGAGUUAAUGGAAAUUUUAAUCAAGCAAUAUUCAGUUUCUUCUGAAGUAGCAAAGUUAAUAUGUAACAAGUUCUUGAACACAUUCCGAAAAUGCCCUGAAAAUUCUUUAACUGACCUUCACGAAUGGAGAAAAUAUGUAUGGAGGACGGCUUUAGGCCAGUCAUAUGCACAUUUAACAGAUGAUAUUUACAAAUUAUGGUUGGAUAUGAGGUACAAUUUUAUGUCUCUUACUCUCGAAACAAGAAAUCUCCUCAGUAAAUUGAGUGCUAAAUACCUUCUAGCAAUAAUCACAAAUGGACCAUCAAAAGCUCAAUGGGAAAAAGUGAAUAAAUUGAAUAUUCGACCUUACUUCGAUCUUAUACUUGUCUCAGGUGAUCUACCCUGGGAGAAACCGCAUUCGAAUAUUUUUAUCAAGGCCUGCAAUAAAUUGAAUAUUGAACCACAUCAAGCAGUUAUGAUUGGUGACAAACUGGAGACAGAUAUUUUAGGUAAGCUUUACUCGUAAAAAACAAUAUACUGCUUUGAAAAUAUUCGAUCCGAAUUCCAACAUCUCACCCAAAUUCCGUCACCUUUUUUUUAAUAAUUAAGAUAAUGCUCUAUUGGAUUCACGAAAAAAUACUCAUCCUUACUUCUCAGAAACCUGCAAAAUUCAGUUUUAUUGAUUAAAAAGUAUCAGUACUAGAGAAUUCCUUACAAUCGUGUAUCAACUGUCGAAGCAAAACGUCUUUUCUAUUAGCCUCGUGCACGUUAUUAUUCAAUUGAAGUUUUUAGGUAUAUCGUAUUUCGUAUUAUUUUACAGAGAAAAGCGGGUAGCAGGAUUUGAGUUACAAUAAAGCACAGAGCGGGAAAGCCGUCAGAAGUGACGAAAUUCCAAACAAAACACGUUCAUUCAAAUGGUUUUUUCAUACCAAUUAUUUUAAGUCCAAAAAUAUCUCAGUAAGAAUGACAUUUGAUAAAAUUCCCAAAAUAGAGAUUACGGAGUUCUAGACAAUUUUAAAUAAUUUUUAGUCCAGUUUUUUUUCCAUAUCUGACUAUCUUGAAUUGAUAAAUAUUGAAUGAUAGAAUUCGAAAGGAAUCAAAAUUUUUAAAAUCCGCAGUAUGGUUUUCCCGAUCUAUUCCGAAGAUAUGCAGUAAAGUCGGCGCAUUUUCCAUACUUUUAGACGCAAGUGUAGAGAAUUCUAGUUCUGCAUAUUAAACGAGUAUAAGCAUUUCCUGUCACCAAAAAAUAGUUAUGUGACAGUGUUCAGACGGACCAAACCCAUUUUCACAUAAUCGCCCCCGAAUACAUUGGUACAAAACGUUUUUAAUCAACAUUCGAAGGAAACAUCCGGGAUUUAACCGCAAAUAAGACUAAGAUAAACGAACAUGCAACUACAAUUAAGGACAGCUGAAAGAAGUUCACUAGUUUAUAUCAACUAUAGAGUGAGCACUCUACAAAAGAAGUAAUGUAUAAAAGAAAAAAAACCGGCAGUGGUUUCGUCUGAAAUCUGGCAGAAGUAUUAGAAAAAAUCAGAGCUUGAAGAAAAGAGUUGAAAAACAGAAACAAAGGAAAAAAGAUAAAUUAUAGAAGAGAGGGGUAAAUGAAAAAGCUAUACAAGCAGAUGACGCUCUAAAAUUGACUGAAGCAAUAAUAAAAAAGUAAAUGCAAAAAGAAAUUUUAGCAAAGUGAAAAAUAAACAACAAAAAAGUUCUGAGGUUACUGCGACAUAAAGAUUUUACUUAGAAAUUCACAAGAAAGUUGUUCUGAGGAUCAUGGAAAUAGUACAAAGGAGAAGAAACAAAAAAGAACAUUCAAAUAACCAGAAAAAAUGAUUGUUUUGCAAUCCAAUAUAAGAAAAAACCUUAUUCGGGACAAGUUAUUGAGAUGUGUACAAAGUACUAUAAAAUCAAAUGUAUCACUAAAUGUGGUCUCGCUUGGAAGUGGUCAGACAAAGAUGUUAUACUCUGAGAUUUCGACGAUAUUACAUUGAUUACAUAUCAAAUAAGCCGACUUUGGAAUAUUUGGUGAUGUGUAAAUAAAGUUAAUUGGUUUUUGUACCACAAUUUCAACCAAGCAAAAACAAACUUCUUAAUAAACGUAAGUCAUCGAUAUUUGUAAUAGUUUUUUCCGUUCCCAUUUUAGUAUAUUAGCAAUUUAUUAAAAAAAAUAAUUUGUCUGGGAUACUAAAAAUUAAUAAAUAUUAUUUAACGAUUGUCCAAAGAUUCAUCAUAUUCCAAAAACAUUUCAUUAUGUUGAAAAUCAGUCCAUGGAUAGUAAGAGGAUUAAGGUGACGAAAUUGGGAUUUACUGCGGUGCUAAUUAAUACAGUGCUUCUACAUCUACAUAAACAAAAUGCCCAAAUAGAGUCUACCUGUGGAGUCAGUCAUAGUACAGUACACAGGAUGCUGAGCAAAACUAAAUGUUAUUCAAACAAAUUAAAAAUGCAGAUGACCAAGACCGUACACUGCAUUCUGUGAAAUUAUGUUCACUUAAAUUCUCCAACAGUCAGACUAUCUAAAGACAAUUUGCUUCAGUGGCGAAAGUACUUUUUUCCUUGAUUAAAAUGUUAAUACUCAAAAUGUGAGGUAUUGGAGUGACAUAAAUCCUCACAUGUUUCUUGAAAAACAUUCACAGAUCUCAUUAAAAGUAAGUGUCUGGGUAAAUAUUUUGGGAAACCACAUAGUCGGGCUUCUUUUUUAAUUUCUAAAUUAACAGAUUAGGUAUAUCUCGAAAUAUAGAAAAAGUAAUUCAAGCGCCUUUUUUUCAACUUCAACUUUUUUCAACAAUUUCGUAACUUGGAAAUAACGUUGCUUGUGCAAACUAUUACUUUGCAAUAAUACGUUAUCUAGAUGAGGAAUAUUUUUGUACACCUUUAAGCUGAAGUUUAAGAUACAGGUCCUGACAGUAUUAACGUUUUAAAACAACGAAUUGCUAAAGUAUGUAGGGCCCUUUCCCCUGACACAUUUUAUCAAAUCUGACAAAAGUUUAAUAAUAGGAUGUUUUACUGCCAGGAAGUAGAUGGAACCCAUUUUUAAAAAUUAUUAGAAGUUGUGUAUUUAUUUGUAUUUAUUUUCAUUAUCAAAAACAUCGUAAAUCCAAAUGAUUGAAUAGCUAUUCUAAAUACCUUUCAAACGAUGUAUCAUUUGCCAUCAGGUUCCAUUUAACAUUAUUGGUUUUAGUCUAAGAUUAUAUACUCGGUUUUAGUUACCUGAUCGUACCGAUACCUUUUACGUCACAUGUUACUAUUAGUAGAGAAGCUUACAACAGUUCAU